AUCCCUUUUUUGUGCGCUGGCUUCACACCCCAGAGAAUGAAAGUCAAAUGACUGCUGAACUCCAAUAAGCAUGCAUGUGUGAGAAGGAGCUGUUUCUGACUCAGUCAAAUUCCACUGCCCUAUAAAGCCAGACAAAAGUAAAAAGGAAAGAUGAAGCUGAGAACCAGUGGCCCCCUGAAACAUGUAGCACACAAACAUAACAUGUAUGUAACUCCUUUCUAGACAGAUUCAUUUUCUCUCUUGCUUUGAACACAGUGGCUUCAAGACACCAUGGACUGUAUGGUUACAACAAUGUGAACGGACUGACUAAUACUUGUAAUGAUGAAGUCACAUGAAGCUGCAGCUCUACUCAGUUUCAGGAAGCUUCAUAUUGAGUUUCAGCACGUGCGAAGUGACUAUAUGAUGAUUUCUUUAAGGGCAGCUAAAUAGCACUAGAAGCGCUAGAGGACAACCCAGAAACACGACCACAAAUGAAAGAUAACAUGAUGUUAACACAGGAUGUGCAAAUAAGCAACUCUGUGAGCUUCCCCCACCUGGGAAUGAGAGUGCUGGUAUUACCAUCGGCCCGACAGAUGGACAUUCAGCCGCCCCCGCCUCCUUUUCCUCCUCUCCGAGAACGCCUCACAUGGAUUCCUAUAGAUCCACUGCAUUCUGCAUUGAAGCCGUCCUGCCUCUGUGAGCCGAAAGCCAAUGGAGUGUGGUGCAGUUUUGUUUUACAGUGGCGAAGGCCGUGACAUUAUUACACACUAGAACACUGAGUAGAAGUGAUUUUAUUCACAUCUAAAUGUGCAAUUGUUGGAACAUUUUCUGCUUUAUACUUCUGAAAAUGAUUUUACAGGUUACAAUACCAUCUAAAAUGUCCAUCCAGACCUUACUUCAGGCUACUUUUUCUUUUUAAUUCCUCCAAAGUUUGCCACUGGAUGGUGCUAAAGUGCUUUAGAACAAAUGAAUAAGAUUCUCCUGGCUGUGCACCCAGACAGAGCCCCUAAGUCCCACCGCUCAUGAUCUUUCUGAGCCGUGGGAAAGAGGGCUUUGACACAGACUGAUGACUCAUGUAGGCUACAGUUCAGAAUGUAUUUAAAAAAAAAAAACAGACAUCCUCAACAAAUUCUGCAUCAAGGAGAGCCACGAGCUCAAGGAUAGAUCUUAGAUAGAUGAGUACUUGUUGGUCUGAAGGUCUCUGCGUGGUCGUGAUUGUGGUGUGAAUGACUAAAAUGCAAUAAUAUGCAUCUCAACACGACAGAUUAAGUUGAACUGCUAAACUGCGCUGUGAUACCAGCUCGGUGAAAUGUGUGCGGCAUGUCACUGCAGCAAAACAUUCAAUAUUUUAAUCAGCAGAUCUUUAAUUUGACACAACAGCACGUUCAAACUGACAGGACAGAUUGCAGCAUGAGCUCUUGUUUCUGCUCCGCAGUAUGUUCAAGCUCACAUCUUGGUUGGAUGGUGCCUCGCUCCUCUGUGGAGCAGGUGCGAGCGUCCUUAUCACACGUUUAAUAGAAGACGGAUUAGUGACAUGUGACUGAGAGCAUGUGUUAGACAGUGUGGACGCGUGAUGACAAAGAGUAGGAUGACAAAAGUACAGGCGUUUGUUUGAAACGCCAGGAGACAUACAGCUCACUUGUCUGCAGUAAAAUACUGUAUCAUUUCAAUGUGACAUGUUUCCAUUUAAAAAUAAGAGGAGUCGCAGGUUUUCUGCCUUUAGUAAUGUCAAAGUGGUAAAUUAGAAACUAUUAAAAAGCACAGCUGGGAUAUGUUUGUUUGUUUUUUUGUUUUUUUAGUUUUGCUGCUGGUAUAAAAUAGAAAACGUUGCGAGUAUAUUUAAAUAUUACUUAAAACUGCAUUAGCACUUCAAGUACUUGGGGUGCUGCUACUUUACUAAAUGUCACUGCAUUUAGCAAAUACAGUACUUUUUAUGUAACUAAUGUAAUUUAACUGUAGUUACUUUUAGAUUGAGGUUGCACUGUAUGAUAAAUAUAAUAAAUACAACAAGUUGUUAAAGAUUUUUGGACUUGGAACACACAAAAAUAAAUAUAGAAAUGUAUAAAAUCAGUGUGUAGUUGAGGCCAUAUGUCAUAUUUUUGAUGUCUUUAACGUAAGAGGGUAUCAAACCUGACCAGGUUUGGGUAGCCCUGGUUUAAGUACUGAUUUAUUCCUGUACUUACAGGAUCUACAUGCUACUUUUUCUACCAGUGGAUUUUGCACCGCAAUCUGUUUAUUGCUAUUCAUGGAAACUGUGGUGAAAACAGACGUCGUAGGCAAACCUCUGUUAUUAAGAAAACAAAGCGAGGCCUCUCGAUAAUUGAGUUGGAAAAACAGCAGAAGUCACUGCAAAUGCACAAUACACGUGUUCCGGUGUGGCACGGAGGGUAUUGCUUUCUUUUUUAUCCCUCUCUUGUGCUUUCUAUUGUUGUGGAAAUUUUCAGUUACAAUCUUAAGUUGUUUCCUGCCAAAAAAUACAAUCAUUUCCUGAGAUGUACACAAAGCCACAUUUUACAUGUGUGCACAUGCGUGGCUUUUAAGAGAAAGAGGAAGGCUGAGAGGCAAACCAUAAAGGUUAGAGGUUAGACUGAACUGCUGUCAUUCUGGCUACGAAAGUGGAAUAUCACUCACCAGCGUUCAGCCUCCAGAGCAGACGGCAAGAAGCAAACAUCAGAUGAGAGGCAGGACAGCUGCCUUACCUGGGCUCCCAGUCUACAGCAUGUACAGUGAAGACCAAAAGACUCGCCUGCAGUGAAACGUUCAAGCCAAGUAAGAGACAAAAAGGAGAGUUUGCACUUGGAAGCAGAAGUGAAAGCU
rnacentral:lncRNA from 1 species